UUUAAAUGGCCGCAGUAUAUUAACUGUGCAAAGGUAGCAUAAUCAUUAGUCUUUUAAUUGAAGGCUGGUAUGAAUGGUUGGACGAGAUAUUAACUGUUUCAUAAAAAUUUAUAGUAGAAUUUUAUUUUUUAGUCAAAAAGCUAAAAUUUAUUUAAAAGACGAGAAGACCCUAUAAAUCUUUAUAUUUAAUUUAUUAUAAUUUUAUAGAUUAUUUUUAUUAUAAUAAAUGAUAAUAUUUUAUUGGGGUGAUAUUAAAAUUUAAUUAACUUUUAAUUAUUAUAAUCAUUAAUUAAUGAAUAAUUGAUCCGUUAAUAACGAUUAAAAAUUUAAGUUACUUUAGGGAUAACAGCGUAAUUUUUUUGGAGAGUUCAUAUCGAUAAAAAAGAUUGCGACCUCGAUGUUGGAUUAAGAAAU
rnacentral:rRNA from 2 species